CCUGCCUUUUUAGGGCUGCCUAAAACCACAAUUUCUGUGUAGGUGGCACUUAAGGAGGCGAAGUCAAAGUCCUUUUCCAUAGUCAUUUUUGAUUCGUCCAAACAAGUUAUAUUUCGGCGCGCACGGGCGACUGUUCACUCUCUGAGAUAGAGAGCGCAAAGAUGAGAAGGAGAACCGGAGAAGAUGGACAUACGGAAUUGAAGAUGCAGCUCAGGAAACACAGAAGGUUGUUGUAUUUGCAGGAGAGACCCAGAACUUCAGAUAGCAAGGAAGAGAGGGGAGCAGACAGGACAGAGCGAGAACAGAGCGAAGGGAGGCCCACGCAAGACAAACAUGGUAUAUUCCUCUCAAGCCAGAGGAAGUAGUCCUUGCUAAACAUUACCUCUCAAAAAAAGAAAGAUGCCACUUCUGACAUGUCCUGUGUGUAUAAAUUGUUAGACCCUGAUGUUUCCAUCACUGAAGGCAAUCAUACAGGCCGCGCUGACCAUCCCAGUUAGCAGCUGUGAGAGAUCUUUCAGUGUAUUAAGACGUCUACAUACCUGGCUUGGGAGCCCAAUGACCCAAGAUAGAAUGCAUCAUGACAAUUGAUAAAGAUAUACAUAAGAACACGCUUGGGAAAGAGUGAAGUCAUAGACGGGUUUGCACCUACAGUUUCAUUUUGUUUAAUUUCUAAUCUUUAUGGAUGGACUAACAUCCUAGUAAUGUGUAAUAUAACUCGCAAACAUUGUGAAUAUUUAGUUGGAGAAAGGAUUGUAUGCUGGUAUGUACAUGUGUGUAAAAUUGUGAAGUGUUGUUACUACAGGGGGUGUAUUUGUUUUUGUGUAAUAUUGUCCGGUAGCUAAUUGACCUUGGAAUCUGAUUUAUUACCACAAAUAUUAUAUCAUGAUUUUUAAGCGUGUUUGGUGCCUGCGUUUGUACAUAUUAUCCCCCCCCCCACUCUACAGUUAUAAUACAAGCCUACUGCUGAAAUGAGUUUAUGCAGUUCCAAUAUAAACCAAAGGAUGGCAGCCUAAAAUCCCAAUCCUGCUAUAUUGCGCGUAACUAGAUUAUUUUUUCAUGCAAAACAUUCAUUUGUGAUUUAGGCUGCCACAAUUUGGAUUAUUUGGAACUGCACAGUGCGAGCAUCAACGUGAGGCUUUUAUUUAAUUGCUA